AAAUUGCCACCCAGAUCAGUGCAGUGUCCACAGUGGGGACAAACACCCAGUAAUGUUGCAACAUGGCUAAUGACCUUCUAUGCUCCGUGAGGGAAAUGACCACCAUCUUCUCUCUAGGAAUAGGAGUAGGCCAGUCAGCCCCUCAAGCCUGUUCUGUCAUUCAGUGAGUUCAUGGCUGCUCUGUGGCCCAACUCCAUAUUUCUGCCUUUGGCCCAUAUCCCUUAAUAAUGGUGCUUGAUAAAAAAAAAAAACUAUCUCAUAUUGAAAACUAGGAACUGAUCCAGCAUCUACUGCCAUUUUUGGAGGAGCAUUCCAAACCUCUACCACCCUUUGCAUGUAGAAAUGCUUCCUAACUUCUCUCCUGAAAGGUCAGGCUCAAAUUCUCAGGCUACACCCCUAGUUCCAGAAUCACUAACCAGUGGAAUAGUUAUCAUAAUCAAUCCUUUCUUUUGUUGAUAAUUUGAAGACUUUCUACAGAAAACCCCAUAUUCCUGCAAACUCUGCCAGUGCACCCUCCCACCAAGGCUCUCAUCACCACUAUUGCUGGAACAUCUUCUCUCAUUCACUCUCACUGCCCCAAAGCCCCACACUACUAAUCUUGCAUGCUUGCUAUGCUGCCUACUGACUCGGAAUAUCAAAUCACAUUGCCCCCACACCCCCUCCCAACAUACCACCAUUCCUGGCAGCUACUUUAUUCUCAUUCCAUCCCUCUUUUUGUCUUAUUCCAGAAGAAAACAGCCAUAAUUGUACCAAAGACAGCCAAGAUGGUUGAUAGGAUGCCCAACAUCUUUCUCCAUCAAGAUCUUUGCUUUCAUGGGAGAAAUUGCUCAGGCGGUGAAGCCAGGAUGUCCAUGUUCCCAGCAACCAAGGGCAGCCGUCUGGGCCUUGCUACUGUCGGAAAAGAUGCAUUGGCACUGUGGCUAAAGAUGGCUUAAAGCUGGCUUCCAUCCGGUACAUAAAGUGAAUGCAGUGUAAUAAGGAGGUAGAGCUGUCAAGGGUGAAAAUGAUGAGAGACAAAGAAGGUUUCAAAAUCCAACAAAGUACGAUCUGCUUCUUCUGUUUAUUAAUCAUGAGAACUCCAAAUACUUCAUUAAAAUGGUCAGAUGCAACCAGACCUGUUGAGUUUCCCCAGCAAUUUGUGUUUUCGUUAAAGGAAGGACCUCUCAGCAUGCCUCAAGAUCUUCUCAUCAGAUCAGAAAGGAAGGUGCUGAAGGUGAGGUGUAAAUCCAAAAUGAAAACCAAAAGAAUCA